UACAUAUUUAUUUAGGCACAAACUGCCUGAUAAAAACUUGUAUGAAAAAAGUAUUAAUACUUUUUUAAUACAAUUUUUUUUAUCAGGCAGUUUGUGCCUAAAUAAAUAUAUA
rnacentral:miRNA from 1 species